rnacentral:lncRNA from 1 species
CACGGGUGAGGGGUUAGAUUAGAACAGGACAGGGUGAAGGGUUAGAACAGGACAGGGUGAAGGGUUAGGUUAGAAAAGGACUGGGGUGAAGGGUUAGAUUAGAACAGGACUGGGUGAAGGGUUAGGUUAGAACAGGACUGGGUUGGGGUGAAGGGUUAGAUUAGAACAGGACUGGGUGAAGGGUUAGGUUAGAACAGGACAGGGGUGAAGGGUUAGAACAGGACAGGGGUGUAGGGUUAGGUUAGAACAGGACUGGGGUGAAGGGUUAGAACAGGACUGGGGUGAAGGGUUAGGUUAGAACAGAACUGAGGUGAAGGGUUAGGUUAGAACAGGACUGUG